UUGAGUAAUGUUGAGUUUCGGAGACUUUUAUUCUGAAAUCGCGGCACAUACCGAAACCGGAAUAGGCGCUAUUGAAUACAGAGAGAACUGUUGUUGCAUCAGUCAUUGCCGAGCGCGGCUCGUUGUCUGAAGUAGCGCUGGAAACGUGCAUUGUUGCUAUACUGAGUGUCUGACUGGAUGUAUUUGUGCUUCUGUGCGUGUUAUGAGAAGAAACCACAACCUUUAUAAGCACAACUCAUCGGCUACACACUCAUUUAAUCAGGACAUCAGUAAAUUAACAGCUCCGCAAGGGCAAUCUACAUUGUGAGGAAAGGCUCUUAUGUUUGUCUAUGGCCAAGUGAUACGCUCAUAGCACUCUGAAGGCUCUUUGGAACACUGUUUUACCCACAUACCGCAAACCAAUCUCAAGGCUGGGCCUAAACGUCAGGUCCGUGGGCUACUGGUAAUAGUGUUCUAUAAUUCAUCGUCCUUUGAACCUGUGCCCCGGAAACAAUUGGACAUUUCAGUGUACAUCUGCUAAUAUUCACAGUUGGCUCUUCUCUCUCAUGUUCAUACUUACUUGCCACAAUAAAUGUGUUUGAUUUCA